rnacentral:lncRNA from 1 species
AUUUGGCAUCCGCGUGGUGUCAUCAAAGCAUUAACCAGACCUUUAGAACCCUAAUUGACUCAUCCUAGCCAUUAGAAAGUAGUGAGAUAACUGACUUCGGUUCCGACUGGGGUUGGUUGAGACUCGAUACUACACUCUUUGAGAUUGGACUUUAGGGAAGCUUUGGUCAACCACUUGGCGUUGCACUGAAGUGGACUUAAAGAA